AGUGAACGCUGGCGGCGUGCCAAACACAUGCAAGUCGAACGAUGAUGGAGGAGCUUGCUCUUCCUGAUUAGUGGCGCACGGGUGAGUAAUGCAUAGAUAAUGUGCCCCUUAGUUCGGGAUAGCCACUGGAAACGGUGAUUAAUACCGGAUACUCCUUCUUAUCAUAAGAUAAGUCGGGAAAGUUUUUCGCUAAGGGAUCAGUCUAUGUUCCAUCAGUUAGUUGGUGAGGUAACGGCUCGCCAAGACAAUGACGGAUAUCUGGUUUGAGAGGAUGAUCAGACACACUGGAACUGAGACACGGUCCAGACUCCUACGGGAGGCAGCAGUGAGGAAUAUUGCACAAUGGAGGAAACUCUGAUGCAGCAACGCCGCGUGGAGGAUGACGCAUUUCGGUGUGUAAACUCCUUUUAUUAGGGAAGAUUAUGACGGUACCUAAUGAAUAAGCACCGGCUAACUCCGUGCCAGCCGCCGCAGUAA
rnacentral:rRNA from 1 species